GUUCAUGUUUCUUUGGCUCUAAUCUCUGUGUCAUAAUACCACUGUUUAUAAUACAAACUUAGAGCCUGUUUUAUAGAACUGAACUCAAUUCUGUGUUCAAAUUGUCCAAGAUGUCCGCCCUGCCUGUUUUUUCCCACUAGAAAGCAAGAGGGGUGUGGAGGAACAAUUUGCUAAGGGUCCCUGGGGUGAGACCCGGUCCAUUAUUUCAUCAUUUCCUUACAGCAUACAGAGGAGGGUGGAGGAGAGCAGGAAAGGGGAGACUGGUUCUUUCCUGAAUGAUUGUUCAGAUCCCCACCUCAAGAGAACCAUGCUCCACCCAUUAGGGAAGCAGCUCUCAGAAACAUCCCAGGGACAGGACUAACUGCUGACACACCAGGAAGUGGAAUUUGGCAACAACCAGGACCUCCAUGAAGGAGACCAUUUUAGUUCUUAGAGCAUCAAUAACAAAUGCUUCAACAUCAUCUGCUCCGAUCUGUAGCUCUUACCGCAUUGUAUCAAAAGAAAUCUCUUCGUUUUCUGCUGCCAUUCCCAUAAAGGAUCAACAGGAGGCAUACCGCACUGUGCAUUACACUUUCAACGUCUUUAUCAUCUUCCUUCAGACACACAUCACAGGCUUCACCAAUCUGAGCUAAGUCUACAUGAAGCCCACCUUCCGAG